GUGUUUGUAGCUUAAUUAGGACAAAGCGUUAAACUACGAAUUUAAAGAAUGGGAGUUCGAUUCUUCCCAAACACG
rnacentral:tRNA from 1 species